rnacentral:rRNA from 1 species
GACAGAGGCCUCAAGCGUUAGGCGGAAUCACUGGGCUUAAAGCGUGUGUAGGCGGAUCGUUAAGUGCCUUGUGAAAUCCCACGGCUUAACUGUGGAACGGCUGGGCAUACUGGCGGUCUUGAGCCAUCUAGGGGCGACUGGAACAAACGGUGGAGCGGUGAAAUGCGUAGAUAUCGGGAGGAACACCAGUGGCGAAGGCGACUUCCUGGCCUGUUCUUGACGCUGAGGCGCGAAAGCUAGGGGAGCAAACGGG